rnacentral:rRNA from 2 species
UACGUAGGUGGCAAGCGUUGUCCGGAUUUAUUGGGUUUAAAGGGUGCGUAGGCGGUCUUUUAAGUCAGUGCUGAAAUACUCCAGCUUAACUGGAGGGGUGGCAUUGAUACUGGAAGACUCGAGUGUAGUCGAAGUAGGCGGAAUUGACGGUGUAGCGGUGAAAUGCUUAGAUAUCGUCAAGAACACCGAUAGUGAAGACAGCUUACUAGGCUACAACUGACGCUGAGGCACGAAAGUGUGGGGAUCAAACAGG